GACGAACGCUGGUGGCGUGCUUAACACAUGCAAGUCGAACGGGAUUUAGUAAACAGAAGCCUCGGUGGAAGAUUACUAAUGAGAGUGGCGAACGGGUGAGUAACGCGUGAGCAACCUGCCUAUGACAGUGGGAUAGCCUCGGGAAACCGGGAUUAAUACCGCAUAAAAUCGUAGAAACACAUGUUUUAACGGUCAAAGAUUUAUCGGUCAUAGAUGGGCUCGCGUCUGAUUAGCUAGUUGGUGAGAUAACAGCCCACCAAGGCGACGAUCAGUAGCCGGUCUGAGAGGAUGAACGGCCACAUUGGAACUGAGACACGGUCCAAACUCCUACGGGAGGCAGCAGUGGGGAAUAUUGCACAAUGGGGGAAACCCCGAUGCAGCGACGCCGCGUGAACGAAGAAGGUAUUCGUAUCGUAAAGUUCUGUCCUAUGGGAAGAUAAUGACAGUACCAUAGAAGAAAGCUCCGGCUAAAUACGUG
rnacentral:rRNA from 1 species